rnacentral:rRNA from 1 species
GACGAACGCUGGCGGCGCGCCUAACACAUGCAAGUCGAACGAGCGAGAGAGAGCUUGCUUUCUUGAGCGAGUGGCGAACGGGUGAGUAACGCGUGAGGAACCUGCCUCAAAGAGGGGGACAACAGUUGGAAACGACUGCUAAUACCGCAUAAGCCCACGGCUCGGCAUCGAGCAGAGGGAAAAGGAGCAAUCCGCUUUGAGAUGGCCUCGCGUCCGAUUAGCUAGUUGGUGAGGUAACGGCCCACCAAGGCGACGAUCGGUAGCCGGACUGAGAGGUUGAACGGCCACAUUGGGACUGAGACACGGCCCAGACUCCUACGGGAGGCAGCAGUGGGGAAUAUUGCACAAUGGGGGAAACCCUGAUGCAGCGACGCCGCGUGGAGGAAGAAGGUCUUCGGAUUGUAAACUCCUGUUGUUGGGGAAGAUAAUGACGGU